AAAGUCGUAACAAGGUUUCCGUAGGUGAACCUGCGGAAGGAUCAUUAAUGAAUAUCUAUGGCGUUGGUUGUAGCUGGCUUUUAGGAGCAUGUGCACACCCGUCAUUUUUAUCUUUCCACCUGUGCACCCAAUGUAGGUCUGGAUGACUCUCGCUCUUGAGCGGAUGCAAGGACUGUCGUGUCGAAAGGCCGGCUUUCUUUGAAUUUUCAGAUCUAUGUAUUUUACAAACCCUAAUUGAAUAAUGAAGAAUGCAGUCAAUGGGCUUUUAUGCCUAUAAAACAAAAUACAACUUUCAGCAACGGAUCUCUUGGCUCUC
rnacentral:misc_RNA from 1 species